AGAGUUUGAUCCUGGCUCAGAAUGAACGCUGGCGGCGUGCUUAACACAUGCAAGUCGAACGAGAACGGGAUUGCUUGCAAUCCUUAGUAGAGUGGCGCACGGGUGAGUAACACGUAGAUAAUCUACCUUCAAGCCCGGGAUAACUAUUCGAAAGGAUAGCUAAUACCGGAUGAAGUUGAUCAACAUAAGUUGAUUGAUGAAAGAUUGCCUCUUCUUGAAAGCAAUUGUUUGGAGAUGAGUUUGCGGACCAUUAGUUUGUUGGUGGGGUAAAGGCCUACCAAGACUACGAUGGUUAGCUGGUCUGAGAGGAUGAUCAGCCACACUGGAACUGGUACACGGUCCAGACUCCUACGGGAGGCAGCAGUGAGGAAUUUUGCGCAAUGGGGGAAACCCUGACGCAGCAACGCCGCGUGAGUGAAGAAGGCCCUUGGGUCGUAAAGCUCUGUCGACAGGGAAGAAAUUAACAUCAUCCAAUAGGUGUUGUUAUUGACGGUACCUGUAGAGGAAGCACCGGCUAACUCCGUGCCAGCAGCCGCGGUAAUACGGGGGGUGCAAGCGUUAUUCGGAAUUAUUGGGCGUAAAGGGCGCGUAGGCGGUCUUGUCGGUCAGAUGUGAAAGCCCAGGGCUCAACCCUGGACGUGCAUUUGAAACAGCAAGACUUGAAUACUGGAGAGGAGAGCGGAAUUCCUGGUGUAGAGGUGAAAUUCGUAGAUAUCAGGAGGAACACCGAUGGCGAAGGCAGCUCUCUGGACAGAUAUUGACGCUGAGGCGCGAAGGCGUGGGUAGCGAACAGGAUUAGAUACCCUGGUAGUCCACGCAGUAAACGAUGUACACUAGGUGUAGCGGGUAUUAAAAUCUGCUGUGCCGCAGCUAACGCAUUAAGUGUACCGCCUGGGGAGUACGGUCGCAAGACUAAAACUCAAAGGAAUUGAUGG
rnacentral:rRNA from 1 species